rnacentral:pre_miRNA from 1 species
ACAUAGGGCAAUCUGUCUCUGACUACGGGUAAAUUACUGUAAAACAAUGAACUCCAUAUAGUUUUCCCCAAAGCCAUGCAUGUUGU